rnacentral:rRNA from 1 species
ACUCGAAUUAAUACCGCAUACGACCUACGGGAGAAAGGGGGCAGUUUACUGCUCUCGCUAUUAGAUGAGCCUAAGUCGGAUUAGCUAGAUGGUGGGGUAAAGGCCUACCAUGGCGACGAUCUGUAGCUGGUCUGAGAGGAUGAUCAGCCACACCGGGACUGAGACACGGCCCGGACUCCUACGGGAGGCAGCAGUGGGGAAUAUUGGACAAUGGGGGCAACCCUGAUCCAGCCAUGCCGCGUGUGUGAAGAAGGCCUUUUGGUUGUAAAGCACUUUAAGCAGUGAAGAAGACCUAAUGGUUAAUACCCAUUAGCGAUGACAUUAGCUGCAGAAUAAGCACCGGCUAACUCUGUGCCAGCAGCCGCGGUAAUACAGAGGGUGCAAGCGUUAAUCGGAAUUACUGGGCGUAAAGCGAGCGUAGGUGGCUUGAUAAGUCAGAUGUGAAAUCCCCGGGCUUAACCUGGGAACUGCAUCUGAUACUGUUAAGCUAGAGUAGGUGAGAGGGAAGUAGAAUUUCAGGUGUAGCGGUGAAAUGCGUAGAGAUCUGAAGGAAUACCGACCGCGAAGGCAGCUUCCUGGCAUCAUACUGACACUGAGGCU